UCUGUGGAGGAGGGCAGUAGAAGAAUUUGAUCAGAUGUAGGAAGCCAUUCAUUGUCAAUACUAUCAUGAGAGUGCAUCAAGGAACUCAGAAGGCUGAUGAACCUUGAGCUUUAGCAGGGCUAAAGCUAUGCACUGAGUGUUCUGUGUUGAGAUAGUGAUGGCUGGAAGCAAUUUCCUGACCUGAUAGCCUCAAAGUAAAGCUUUACUGAUCUUUACUGACCUUUGAGAUGGUCGGUCUGCUACCUGUUUGCCGUGCUUUACCAAGGGCAAGGUGUCUAUCUAAAAGUGAAUAAAAAGCAGACUGGCC